AUGCACUGCACGGAGUAUGACAGGCUUCCGCUAAACCUCCUCUGGGAACUGAGCAUGUCACACAAAUCCACGCUCUCUGCUCAUUGGAUGCCGAAGCCCCUGCACCCCACAGCAGUCUCCCUUCAAGAGAAUUUUUUUUUUCUGCUCACGGGACCUUAUCACAUGGAGCCCCUGACCUUCCAGAAUGGCAGGCGUUCUCUUUCAUGUUCCUUCCUUCCCUUCCAAUGGCUCACCUCGUUGGGUGCUGUUUCCAUUCCUCAUCAUCAGAGAGUUUCAGGAGCGGGGCCUUCCAGUCAGGACAUUUCAUUCCUGUGCUGGCACCAGCACCACCCCGUCAGAAGGAUCUCCAAUGGUUCUGAUCUCAUUGGAACAUUUCAUUACUCCCUGAGACGUGAGGAUGGUUGCAGAAAUGGGACAGAGGGAACUGUAUCUUGCCCAACUGGAGAUCCACAAGGAGGAGAGAUACUCAACAGUUACUCUGCUGCUGCAAUGGAUCCCUGAGGUCCAUGUGACAUUGGGCUAGGCUGCUGCAAUUGAAUGACUG
rnacentral:lncRNA from 1 species